UGAGUUGACAGAAUUAUGUGAAUAAUUUAGGUUUAUUUUAUAGGUUUUAACCUACUCAUUAU
rnacentral:tRNA from 2 species